AGAACCGUGGGGAGCCGAGCUCCGUCUUACCAAGCUCACUGAGUACUGCAGCCCGGAGCCUCCCUGUAUACGGGCACCCCUGAAUCCGGCGCUGCCUCCCUAUGAUACUGCGAUUUAAAUCGAAUGCGACUCGAUUAUUGUACAGUACCUACGACACGGCACUCGAUUCGUUUUCUUAGGGACUCGCAUAGUUCGUAUACAAGAAACCGUUCAGAUAGAAUUGAAAUCGUUUUAUUUUACCAAGCCGUAAGCCGAAUAUUUUAUCGUUUCGCGGUGUGUGUGUGUGUGUGUGUGUGUAUAAAUU